AGGGACUUAGGUUUAACAUCUAGACCAAGAGCCUUCAAAGCCCUCAGUGGAAGUGAGAAUCUUCCAGUCCCUG
rnacentral:tRNA from 1 species